rnacentral:rRNA from 1 species
AUUGAACGCUGGCGGCAGGCCUAACACAUGCAAGUCGAACGAGUGGCGGACGGGUGAGUAAUGUCUGGGAAACUGCCCGAUGGAGGGGGAUAACUACUGGAACCGGUAGCUAAUACCGCAUACCAUCGGAUGUGCCCAGAUGGGAUUAGCUAGUAGGUGGGGUAACGGCUCACGUAGGCUACGAUCCCUAGCUGGUCUGAGAGGAUGACCAGCCACACUGGAACUGAGACACGGUCCAGACUCCUACGGGAGGCAGCAGUGGGGAAUAUUGCGAAAUGGGCGAAAGCCUGAUGCAGCAAUGCCGCGUGUAUGAAGAAGGCCUUCGGGUUGUAAAGUACUUUCAGCGGGGAGGCGUUACUCGCAGAAGAAGCACCGGCUAACUCCGUGCCAGCAGCCGCGGUAAUAC